rnacentral:rRNA from 1 species
GACGAACGCUGGCGGCGUGCUUAACACAUGCAAGUCGAACGAUGAACCUCCUUCGGGAGGGGAUUAGUGGCGAACGGGUGAGUAACACGUGGGCAAUCUGCCCUGCACUCUGGGACAAGCCCUGGAAACGGGGUCUAAUACCGGAUACUGACCCGCUUGGGCAUCCAAGCGGUUCGAAAGCUCCGGCGGUGCAGGAUGAGCCCGCGGCCUAUCAGCUUGUUGGUGAGGUAAUGGCUCACCAAGGCGACGACGGGUAGCCGGCCUGAGAGGGCGACCGGCCACACUGGGACUGAGACACGGCCCCAGACUCCUACGGGAGGCAGCAGUGGGGAAUAUUGCACAAUGGCGAAAGCC